rnacentral:rRNA from 1 species
AGUGAACGCUGGCGGUAGGCCUAACACAUGCAAGUCGAGCGGCAGCACAGUAAAGGCUUGCACUUACGGGUGGCGCGUGGCAGAGGGGCGUGGAAUACAUCGAACUUUCCUUUUUCGUGAGGGAUAACGUAGGGAAACUUGCGCUAUUACCCCAAACGUCAUACGUGUGAAUGCAGGGGAUCUUCAGAACUUGCGGUAUUGAAUGAGCCUGCGUCGCAUUAGCUAGUUGGUGAGGUAACGGCCCACCAAGGCGACGAUCCGUAGCUGAUCUGAGAGGAUGAUCAGCUACACUGGACCGGAGACACGGUCCAGACCACUACGGGAGGCAACAGUGGGGAAUAUUGGACAAUGGGCGCAAGCCUGACCCAGCCAUACCGCGUGGGUGAAGAAGUGCUUCUCGUUUUAAAGGCCUUUUGUUGUGAAAGAAAAGUAGCAGGUUAAUACCGCGCUUUUCUGACGGUACCCAAAGAAUAAGCACCGGCUAACUUCGUG